rnacentral:rRNA from 1 species
AAUUGAAUUAUUAAAAUUAAAUUUUUAAAUUUAAUUUAAUUUAAAUAAUAUUUGUUUAAUUAUAAAUUAGAAAAAAUAUUUUUUAUAAUAGUGAAUUAAGUAUUGUGAAAGAAUUUUUUUAUAUUUAAAAAGAAAAAUUAAGUUUUUGUACCUUGUGUAUCAGGGUUUAUUAAAAAUAAAUUAAAGAUUUUAGUAUUCUCGAAUUUAAAAGAUUUAAUUACAUAUAUUUAUUAAUGUUGAAUAAUUAUUAUAAAUAUGUAGUUAGAAAUGAAAUGUUAUUCGUUUUUAAAUAUAUCUAGUUUUUUAAGAAAAAAAUUUAAUUUUAUUAUUAAUUUAAAAAAAGUUAUUUAAAUAGUUUUUUUUAUUUAAUAUUAAAUAUUUUUGGGGAUAAGCUUGAAAAUAAAAUUUUAUAAAUUUAAGAUUUAAUUAAAAUUGUAGGAUUAGAAUUUUUUAUCAUUAAUAAAAUGUUAUAGUUAAUUUAUUUAUUUUAAUUAUUUUUAUUAAUUUUAAUUUUUUUAUUAGAAUGUGUUUUAAAAUUUUUUUUAAUUAGUAAUAAUGGUAAAAUUAGUAUAAUUUUUUGUUAAAAAAGAAAAUCAAUUAAAGGUUUUUAAAAGGAAUUCGGCAAAUGUAUUUUUCACCUGUUUAUUAAAAACAUGUCUUAUUGAUAAUAAUUUUAAGUCUGGCCUGCCCACUGAGUAUUUAAAUGGCCGCGGUAUUUUGACCGUGCAAAGGUAGCAUAAUCAUUAGUUUUUUAAUUGAAAGCUGGAAUGAAAGGUUGAAUGAGAAAAUAGCUGUCUCUUAUGAAAUUUUUUAGAAUUUUAUUUUUAAAUAAAAAAGUUUAAAUGAUUUUUAAAGACGAGAAGACCCUAUAGAGUUUUAUAUAUUGAUAUAAUUGAUUUUAUUAGAUUAAUUUUAUUUAAUUUUGUUUAUAUAUUUGGUUGGGGUGAUUGAAAAAUUUAUAAAACUUUUUUUAUUUUUAGACAUUGAUUUGUGAUUAAGUGAUCCUUUAUAAAGAUUAAAAGAUUAAAUUACCUUAGGGAUAACAGCGUUAUUUUUUUUGAGAGUUCAAAUCGAAAGAAAAGAUUGCGACCUCGAUGUUGGAUUAAAAUUAAUUUUUGGUGUAGAAGCUAAACAUUUAGGUCUGUUCGACCUUUAAAAUUUUACAUGAUCUGAGUUUAAACCGGUGUAAGCCAGGUUGGUUUCUAUCUUGAAGAUGUUAUAAUAUUUUAGUACGAAAGGAUCAAAUAUUAAGUUUAAAAUUUUUAUUUUGAAUUAUAUUA